rnacentral:rRNA from 1 species
AUUGAACGCUGGCGGCAUGCCUUACACAUGCAAGUCGAACGGUAACAGGUUAAGCUGACGAGUGGCGAACGGGUGAGUAAUAUAUCGGAACGUGCCCAGUCGUGGGGAUAACGCAGCGAAAGCUGUGCUAAUACCGCAUACGAUCUAUGGAUGAAAGCGGGGGAUCGCAAGACCUCGCGCGAUUGGAGCGGCCGAUAUCAGAUUAGCUAGUUGGUGGGUAAAAGCCCACCAAGGCGACGAUCUGUAGCUGGUCUGAGAGGACGACCAGCCACACUGGAACUGAGACACGGUCCAGACUCCUACGGGAGGCAGCAGUGGGGAAUUUUGGACAAUGGGCGCAAGCCUGAUCCGAGACAAUCGCCGCGUGCGAGGAGUGGAACGGUCC